rnacentral:lncRNA from 1 species
CAAAAUAGUGUUUGUUCUUCUUAUCUAUAAUGCUUUUCCAAUAACAUUAUUAUUAACAACACCAUUUCAUGGAAGCUCAACUUCAUCACUCAACUAUGCUCAUAGAUUCUCUCUCAUCAAACUGGUUCACCUCUCUCUCUCAUUACUCUCCUUAGUUUUUGCUCUUACUUUUGCUUCUCUAAUAUGGAAUUUCUUUAUUUUUAUUAUAAAAUGUUUUUAAUCAUGGUUAUAAACCGUCAAAAAUACACUCUAACAACUAAAAUUUAUAUAAUUUUGGUAAAGUGAAUAUAAGAUAAGGCUUCUCUUGGAAAAAUAAAACCGAAUUUGAGAAAUUUUAGACUGAACAGAAACAUAUUUUAUCCAAAUAUUAUAUGAAACAGAGUACACUUAAAUUAUAAAUACGUUUUAUCUUUUUAUUAAACUAAAAUUUAAUUUUCUGUGAAAUUGUUAUAUCAAAUUGAAAAAACACAUUAAUCUUAUCAUUUAGGCUCUGAUUUCAGUUUCUAAUUAACUACUUAAGAAACUUACCAUUUUGUUUUAAUAAUAUUUAUCCCUUAACUAACCUCACGUUAUUUAUUUUACCUCUUACACUUUCUUUUAAACUUUUUUAUAAAACUUGACCUUUAAACACGAAUUUUGAAAUAGAAACUAUACAAAAUUAAAGAAUAAACUAAUAUAAAGUAAUAUAUAAACAUAUUGUAAUUUUUCCUUUAUCAUUAAUUAAACAACUAAGUUCAUUGAACAUUCUAAGGACUUUCACUUUUUAGAUAAAGAUUAACUUCAAAAGAUCCAAUUACACCAUUAUCAAAAACAACUAUAAAAGACAAACAAAAAAAUGAUAUAGUUGUGAAAUAUAAUUGAUGAUGAAAUAAUGAAGCACUCUAUAUCCCUAACAACCUCAAAUAUACCCCACUUCAGGAAUCAAUGUUCGAAUAUUCUCUUAUUAAUUAUUUUAUGAAUUAGGUUUCAAAUAUGAACAAUGAACAAUGAACACAGACAUGAAGAAUGAGAACAUGUCCUUUAGAAAAGUGAAGAGUCACUUUCUCACUACAGAAAGC